GAUAGCUUCCACCUGAAUUUUUCGUCUUCAAUCCCUCGUCCACUUCUUGAGGAUCUUGCAUCUGGGACCCUGAAUUCGGAAUCUAUACAUAGGAUCUCCAAAGUGCAUGAUCAGUAUUUGGAGUUUGUCACUUUGGACGAUAACUUGUUUUCACUAGCCCAGAAAUCUAGCUAUGUUCAAUUGAAUGAUCCAUCUGCUGGGGAUAGGGAGAUUGAGGAGAUAAUUGAGAAGAUUGUUAGUGGUUUGUUUUGCGUGCUGGCAACCCUCGCUGUUGUUCCCGUUAUCAGGUGCCCACGGGGAGGGCCGGCAGAGAUGGUGGCAUCAGCAUUGGAUCAGAGGUUGAGGGAUCAUUUAUUGUCAAAGAACAAUCUGUUUUCCGAAGGUGGGGGUUUUAUGAGCUCAUUUCAGAGGCCAAUUUUGUGCAUAUUUGAUAGAAAUUUUGAAUUGGCAAUUGGGAUACAGCAUGAUUUUAGGUAUCGCCCUCUGGUUCAUGAUGUGCUUGGGUUGAAGCUGAAUAGGUUGAGUGUGCAGGAGGAAAAGGGAGGGAUGAAGUCAUAUGAGU
rnacentral:misc_RNA from 1 species